UUUAUGGGAGCAUACCAUGGUGACCAUGUUCGUUUCAUGAGUAAAUGAUUUACGUUAAUUAUAGAGAAUGUCUUUUUAACAAUUUGUAAGAGAAUUAAGGUUGCAAACAAACUAUUAUUUUUAAAUACGUUAUGCGAUUGGAAGGAUUACCAUUUUGGAGUUAACAUGCAAAAAAA